CUACGGGAGGCAGCAGUGGGGAAUCUUAGACAAUGGGGGCAACCCUGAUCUAGCCAUGCCGCGUGAGUGAUGAAGGCCUUAGGGUCGUAAAGCUCUUUCGCCUGUGAUGAUAAUGACAGUAGCAGGUAAAGAAACCCCGGCUAACUCCGUGCAGCAGCCGCGGUAAUACGGAGGGGGUUAGCGUUGUUCGGAAUUACUGGGCGUAAAGCGCACGUAGGCGGAUUAGUAAGUUAGAGGUGAAAUCCCAGGGCUCAACCCUGGAACUGCCUCCAAAACUGCUAGUCUAGAGUUCGAGAGAGGUGAGUGGAAUUCCGAGUGUAGAGGUGAAAUUCGUAGAUAUUCGGAGGAACACCAGUGGCGAAGGCGGCUCACUGGCUCGAUACUGACGCUGAGGUGCGAAAGUGUGGGGAGCAAACAGGAUUAGAUACCCUGGUAGUCCACACCGUAAACGAUGAAUGCCAGUCGUCGGAUAGUAUACUAUUCGGUGACACACCUAACGGAUUAAGCAUUCCGCCUGGGGAGUACGGUCGCAAGAUUAAAACUCAAAGGAAUUGACGGA
rnacentral:rRNA from 1 species